UACGAGUGCCCCAAGCGUUAUCCGGAAUUAUUGGGCGUAAAGGGUGUGUAGGUGGUUUUGUUAGUCUUCUGUUAAAUUCUUCGGCUUAACCGGGGGUCUGCAAAAGAAACGGCAAAACUAGAGGAUGCGAGAGGUAUGCGGAACUCAUGGUGUAGGGGUGAAAUCCGUUGAUAUCAUGGGGAACACCGAAAGCGAAGGCAGCACACUGGCGCACUCCUGACACUGAAACACGAAAGCGUGGGUAGCGAAUGGG
rnacentral:rRNA from 1 species